rnacentral:rRNA from 1 species
UACGUAGGCAGCGAGCGUUGUUCGGAAUUACUGGGCGUAAAGAGUGUGUAGGCGGUGCUCCCAGUCUGUUGUGAAAUCUCCCGGCUUAACUGGGAGGGUGCAGCGGAAACUAGAGUGCUAGAGGGUGGGAGAGGUAAGCGGAAUUCCUGGUGUAGCGGUGAAAUGCGUAGAUAUCAGGAGGAACACCUGUGGUGUAGACAGCUUACUGGACCACUACUGACGCUGAGACACGAAAGCGUGGGUAGCAAACAGG